rnacentral:rRNA from 1 species
CGGGGAAUUUUCCGCAAUGGGCGAAAGCCUGACGGAGCAAUGCCGCGUGGAGGUGGAAGGCCUACGGGUCGUCAACUUCUUUUCUCGGAGAAGAAACAAUGACGGCAUCUGAGGAAUAAGCAUCGGCUAACUCUGUGCUAG